CUCCAGCGGUAAGCUCACACCUCACCGUGGUGCUGGAGUCUAGUAACCUGUUUCUUUCAACAGGUGAAGCUAAGAUGAGC
rnacentral:ribozyme from 1 species